rnacentral:rRNA from 1 species
UACGGAGGAUCCAAGCGUUAUCCGGAUUUAUUGGGUUUAAAGGGUGCGUAGGCGGGCUAUUAAGUCAGCGGUGAAAGUUCGUGGCUCAACCACGAAAUUGCCGUUGAAACUGGUAGCCUUGAGUGUAGAUGAGGUGGGUGGAAUUCGUAGUGUAGCGGUGAAAUGCAUAGAUAUUACGAAGAACUCCAAUUGCGUAGGCAGCUCACUAGACUACAACUGACGCUGAGGCACGAAGGUGCGGGGAUCAAACAGG